rnacentral:rRNA from 1 species
CUACGGGGCGCUGCAGUGAGGAAUAUUGCACAAUGGGGGGAACCCUGAUGCAGCAACGCCGCGUGGAGGAUGACGCAUUUCGGUGUGUAAACUCCUUUUAUAUGUCAAGAAAAUGACGGUAGCAUAUGAAUAAGCACCGGCUAACUCCGUGCCAGCAGCCGCGGUAAGACGGUGGGUGCAAGCGUUACUCGGAAUCACUGGGCGUAAAGGACGCGUAGGCGGGUUGGAAAGUCAGGUGUGAAAUCCUACAGCUUAACUGUAGAACUGCACUUGAAACUUCUAAUCUAGAGUAUGGGAGGGGGAGAUGGAAUUAGUGGUGUAGGGGUAAAAUCCGUAGAUAUCACUAGGAAUACCUAAAGCGAAGGCGAUCUCCUGGAACAUUACUGACGCUAAGGCGUGAAAGCGUGGGGAGCAAACAGGAUUAGAUACCCCCGUAGUC